UGCUCUGUGAUUUUCUGCCUUAGUUGCAGUAUACGCUAUUCUGAUUCUAAUCAUGAAAGAUAUUUCAUUGUAUAUGAGAGCA